CUGCCCAUCAAGCACGGCUUGGGUGUUGGGUCGUCGUCCCCUCUGGGGGACGGGCCCGAAAGGCAGCGGCGGUACCGUCCGGUCCUCGAGCGUAUGGGGCUUUGUCACCCGCUCGAUUAGGGCCCGGCCGGCGCCAGCCGUCAACCAUCAAUUUUUUUCA
rnacentral:misc_RNA from 1 species